GGACUGCCAUCAAAACUUUUCAGCUAGAGUAUGAUAGAGGAAAGCAGAAUUUCUAGUGUAGAGGUGAAAUUCGUAGAUAUUAGAAAGAAUACCAAUUGCGAAGGCAGCUUUCUGGAUCAUUACUGACACUGAGGAACGAAAGCAUGGGUAGCGAAGAGGAUUAGAUACCCUCGUAGUCCAUGCCGUAAACGAUGUGUGUUAGACGUUGGAAAUUUAUUUUCAGUGUCGCAGGGAAACCGAUAAACACACCGCCUGGGGAGUACGACCGCAAGGUUAAAACUCAAAUGAAUUGACGGGGACCCGCACAAGUAGUGGAGCAUGUGGUUUAAUUCGAAGAUACGCGCAGAACCUUACCAACACUUGACAUGUUCGUCGCGACUCUAAGAGAUUAGAGUUUUCGGUUCGGCCGGACGAAACACAGGUGCUGCAUGGCUGUCGUCAGCUCGUGUCGUGAGAUGUUGGGUUAAGUCCCGCAACGAGCGCAACCCUCACUUUUAGUUGCCAUCAUUAAGUUGGGCACUCUGAAAGAACUGCCAGUGAUAAGCUGGAGGAAGGUGGGGAUGACGUCAAGUCCUCAUGGCCCUUACGUGUUGGGCUACACACGUGCUACAAUGGCAUCUACAACAGGAAGCAAAACGGCAACGUUAAGCAAAUCCCGAAAAGAUGCCUCAGUUCGGAUUGCACUCUGCAACUCGAGUGCAUGAAGCUGGAAUUACUAGUAAUCGUGGAUCAGCGUGCCACGGUGAAUGCGUUCCCGGGUCUUGUACACACCGCCCGUCACACCAUGGGAGUUGGUUCUACCUUAAGGCAAGGUUUUAAACCCUUGACCACGGUAUAGUCAGCGACUGGGGUGAAGUCGUAACAAGGUAGCCGUAGGGGAACCUGCGGCUG
rnacentral:rRNA from 1 species